rnacentral:rRNA from 1 species
UUGGAGGGCAAGUCUGGUGCCAGCAGCCGCGGUAAUUCCAGCUCCAAUAGCGUAUAUUAAAGUUGUUGCAGUUAAAAAGCUCGUAGUUGAAUUUCGGGGUUCUACCGUUGGUCGGGCAAUUGUCUGUACUGGCGUGUGGAAUUUCUACCUUCUGGGGAACCAUCAUGUUAUUAAUUUAGCGUGGUGGGAAACCAGGACCUUUACCUUGAAAAAAUUAGAGUGUUCAAAGCAGGCUUACGUCUGAAUACAUUAGCAUGGAAUAAUAAAAUAGGACGGUGGUCCUGUUUUGUUGGUUUCUGAAUCACCGUAAUGAUUAAUAGGGAUAGUUGGGGGCAUUAGUAUUCAAUUGUCAGAGGUGAAAUUCUUGGAUUUAUUGAAGACUAACUUCUGCGAAAGCAUUUGCCAAGGAUGUUUUCAUUAAUCAAGAACGAAAGUUAGGGGAUCGAAGACGAUCAGAUACCGUCGUAGUCUUAACCAUAAACUAUGCCGACUAGGGAUCGGACGAUGUUAAUUUUUCUUGACUCGUUCGGCGCCUUACGGGAAAC